rnacentral:rRNA from 1 species
GAUGAACGCUAGCUACAGGCUUAACACAUGCAAGUCGAGGGGAAACGCCAUCGAAAGCUUGCUUUUGAUGGGCGUCGACCGGCGCACGGGUGAGUAACGCGUAUCCAACCUGCCCACCACUUGGGGAUAACCUUGCGAAAGUAAGACUAAUACCCAAUGACGUCUCUAGAAGACAUCUGAAAGAGAUUAAAGAUUUAUCGGUGAUGGAUGGGGAUGCGUCUGAUUAGCUUGUUGGCGGGGUAACGGCCCACCAAGGCGACGAUCAGUAGGGGUUCUGAGAGGAAGGUCCCCCACAUUGGAACUGAGACACGGUCCAAACUCCUACGGGAGGCAGCAGUGAGGAAUAUUGGUCAAUGGACGAGAGUCUGAACCAGCCAAGUAGCGUGCAGGAUGACGGCCCUAUGGGUGGUAAACUGCUUUUAUAAGGGAAUAAAGUGAGUCUCGGGAGACUUUUUGCAUGUACCUUAUGAAUAAGGACCGGCUAAUUCCGUG